GGCCUACCAUGGUGGUAACGGGUAACGGGGUGUUAGGGCACGACACCGGAGAGGGAGCCUGAGAAACGGCUACCACAUCCAAGGAUGGCAGCAGGCGCGCAAAUUACCCAAUCCCGACACGGGGAGGUAGUGACAAUAAAUAACAAUAUGGGGUUCUUUCGGAUCUCGUAAUUGGAAUGAGUACAAUUUAAAUCUCUUAACGAGGAACAAUUGGAGGGCAAGUCUGGUGCCAGCAGCCGCGGUAAUUCCAGCUCCAAUAGCGUAUAUUAAAGUUGUUGCAGUUAAAAAGCUCGUAGUUGAAUUUCGGGGUCAGUAGGUUGGUCGUGCCACAGGUAUGAACUGGUCUCACUGAUUCCUCCUUCCUGAUGAACCGUAAUGCCAUUAAUUUGGUGUUGCGGGGAGACUGGGCUGUUACUUUGAAAAAAUUAGAGUGUUUAAAGCAGGCUAACGCUUGAAUACAUUAGGCGUGGAAUAAUGAAAUAGGACGUUCGGUCUUAUUUUGUUGGUUUCUAAGAUUGACGUAAUGAUUAAUAGGGAUAGUUGGGGGCAUUAGUAUUCAAUUGUCAGAGGUGAAAUUCUUGGAUUUAUUGAAGACUAACUACUGCGAAAGCAUUUGCCAAGGAUGUUUUCAUUAAUCAAGAACGAAAGUUAGGGGAUCGAAGACGAUCAGAUACCGUCGUAGUCUUAACCAUAAACUAUGCCGACUAGGGAUCGGAUGAUGUUAAUUUUUAUGACUCAUUCGGCGCCUUACG
rnacentral:rRNA from 1 species